rnacentral:rRNA from 1 species
CUAGCCGUAAACGAUGGAUACUAGGCGUUGUGAGUAUCGACCCUCACAGUGUCGUAGCUAACGCGUUAAGUAUCCCGCCUGGGGAGUGCGCGCGCAAGCGUGAAACUCAAAGGAAUUGACGGGGGCCCGCACAAGCGGUGGAGUAUGUGGUUUAAUUCGAUGCAACGCGAAGAACCUUACCAGGACUUGACAUGUCGCGAAUCUCAGGGAAACUUGAGAGUGCCUUCGGGAGCGCGAACACAGGUGGUGC